rnacentral:rRNA from 1 species
CAGCAGCCGCGGGAAUACGUAGGGUGCAAGCGUUAAUCGGAAUUACUGGGCGUAAAGCGUGCGCAGGCGGUCCGCUAAGACAGAUGUGAAAUCCCCGGGCUUAACCUGGGAACUGCAUUUGUGACUGGCGGGCUAGAGUAUGGCAGAGGGGGGUAGAAUUCCACGUGUAGCAGUGAAAUGCGUAGAGAUGUGGAGGAAUACCGAUGGCGAAGGCAGCCCCCUGGGCCAAUACUGACGCUCAUGCACGAAAGCGUGGGGAGCAAACAGGAUUAGAUACCCGUGUAGUCCCUGUCUCUUAUAA